rnacentral:misc_RNA from 1 species
GAUGAAGAACGUAGCGAAAUGCGAUACGUAAUGUGAAUUGCAAAUUCAGUGAAUCAUCGAGUCUUUGAACGCACAUUGCGCCCGCGAGUAUUCUCGCGGGCAUGCCUGUCCGAGCGUCAUUUCAACCCUCAGGGCCCGCCUGCUUCGGCAGGCGCGGCGCUGGUGUUGGGGAUCGGCCUAACCGCCGUCCCCCAAAUACAGUGGCGGUCUCGCUGCAGCCUCCCCUGCGUAGUAGCAACACUCGCAUGCGGAGCGCGGCGCGGCCACGCCGUAAAACCCCCGACUUUCUGAACGUUGACCUCGGAUCAGGUAGGAAUACCCGCUGAACUUAAGCAUAUCAAUAAGCGGAGGA